rnacentral:lncRNA from 1 species
UCAUAGUAUUUACGCAUAUGUUAAGUUUUGAUAGACUUCUUUAGGAUUGCAUGGAGGGGUGUAUUCAACAAAGGAGAGAUGUAUUGGUGGUAGAUUUUUUGCAGGGAAUAUGUAUCUAAUACUACUGUAGAUAAAUGUUCUGGAUCUGCCGCUUGGAUAAUAGAUCUGAUGAUGCUAUUUGAGAACUUUACUAGGCCCAUAAUCCGCGACAUUCUGAUGGCUGCAUAGAUUAGGGGGGAAAUGGACAAGAUAUUGUAUCUUUUCUUGCCAUAUUAGUGUUAAAUAAUUACCCUGUACCUUAGUAUCCAUAGAUAACGUUUUUGUAUAGCAGAGGUGGAUAGCUAGAUCAUAAAAUUGGCUGAUUUGCAUGCCUGAUUUGAAAGUACGAUAUGUU